rnacentral:rRNA from 1 species
UACGGAGGGGGUUAGCGUUGUUCGGAAUUGCUGGGCGUAAAGCGCGCGUAGGCGGACCAGAAAGUUGGGGGUGAAAUCCCGGGGCUCAACCCCGGAACGGCCUCCAAAACUCCUGGUCUUGAGUUCGAGAGAGGUGAGUGGAAUUCCGAGUGUAGAGGUGAAAUUCGUAGAUAUUCGGAGGAACACCAGUGGCGAAGGCGGCUCACUGGCUCGAUACUGACGCUGAGGUGCGAAAGUGUGGGGAGCAAACAGG